rnacentral:rRNA from 1 species
GACGAACGCUGGCGGCGUGCUUAACACAUGCAAGUCGAACGGAAAGGCCCUGCUUUUGUGGGGUGCUCGAGUGGCGAACGGGUGAGUAACACGUGAGUAACCUGCCCUUGACUUUGGGAUAACUUCAGGAAACUGGGGCUAAUACCGGAUAGGAGCUCCUGCUGCAUGGUGGGGGUUGGAAAGUUUCGGUGGUUGGGGAUGGACUCGCGGCUUAUCAGCUUGUUGGUGGGGUAGUGGCUUACCAAGGCUUUGACGGGUAGCCGGCCUGAGAGGGUGACCGGCCACAUUGGGACUGAGAUACGGCCCAGACUCCUACGGGAGGCAGCAGUGGGGAAUAUUGCACAAUGGGCGGAAGCUUGAUGCAGCAACGCCGCGUGCGGGAUGACGGCCUUCGGGUUGUAAACCGCUUUCGCCUGUGACGAAGCGUGAGUGACGGUAAUGGGUAGAGAAGCACCGGCUAACUACGUG